AGCGUACACGGUGGAUGCCCUGGCAGUCAGAGGCGAUGAAGGACGUGCUAAUCUGCGAUAAGCGUCGGUAAGGUGAUAUGAACCGUUAUAACCGGCGAUUUCCGAAUGGGGAAACCCAGUGUGWUUCGWCACACUAUCAUUAACUGAAUCCAUAGGUUAAUGAGGCGAACCGGGGGAACUGAAACAUCUAAGUACCCCGAGGAAAAGAAAUCAACCGAGAUUCCCCCAGUAGCGGCGAGCGAACGGGGAGSAGCCCAGAGCCUGAAUCAGUGUGUGUGUUAGUGGAAGCGUCUGGAAAGGCGCGCGAUACAGGGUGACAGCCCCGUACACAAAAAUGCACAURCUGUGAGCUCGAUGAGUAGGGCGGGACACGUGGUAUCCUGUCUGAAUAUGGGGGGACCAUCCUCCAAGGCUAAAUACUCCUGACUGACCGAUAGUGAACCAGUACCGUGAGGGAAAGGCGAAAAGAACCCCGGCGAGGGGAGUGAAAAAGAACCUGAAACCGUGUACGUACAAGCAGUGGGAGCACGCUUCGGCGUGUGACUGCGUACCUUUUGUAUAAUGGGUCAGCGACUUAUAUUCUGUAGCAAGGUUAACCGAAUAGGGGAGCCGAAGGGAAACCGAGUCUUAACUGGGCGUUAAGUUGCAGGGUAUAGACCCGAAACCCGGUGAUCUAGCCAUGGGCAGGUUGAAGGUUGGGUAACACUAACUGGAGGACCGAACCGACUAAUGUUGAAAAAUUAGCGGAUGACUUGUGGCUGGGGGUGAAAGGCCAAUCAAACCGGGAGAUAGCUGGUUCUCCCCGAAAGCUAUUUAGGUAGCGCCUCGUGAAUUCAUCUCCGGGGGUAGAGCACUGUUUCGGCAAGGGGGUCAUCCCGACUUACCAACCCGAUGCAAACUGCGAAUACCGGAGAAUGUUAUCACGGGAGACACACGGCGGGUGCUAACGUCCGUCGUGAAGAGGGAAACAACCCAGACCGCCAGCUAAGGUCCCAAAGUCAUGGUUAAGUGGGAAACGAUGUGGGAAGGCCCAGACAGCCAGGAUGUUGGCUUAGAAGCAGCCAUCAUUUAAAGAAAGCGUAAUAGCUCACUGGUCGAGUCGGCCUGCGCGGAAGAUGUAACGGGGCUAAACCAUGCACCGAAGCUGCGGCAGCGACACUAUGUGUUGUUGGGUAGGGGAGCGUUCUGUAAGCCUGUGAAGGUGUGCUGUGAGGUAUGCUGGAGGUAUCAGAAGUGCGAAUGCUGACAUAAGUAACGAUAAAGCGGGUGAAAAGCCCGCUCGCCGGAAGACCAAGGGUUCCUGUCCAACGUUAAUCGGGGCAGGGUGAGUCGACCCCUAAGGCGAGGCCGAAAGGCGUAGUCGAUGGGAAACAGGUUAAUAUUCCUGUACUUGGUGUUACUGCGAAGGGGGGACGGAGAAGGCUAUGUUGGCCGGGCGACGGUUGUCCCGGUUUAAGCGUGUAGGCUGGUUUUCCAGGCAAAUCCGGAAAAUCAAGGCUGAGGCGUGAUGACGAGGCACUACGGUGCUGAAGUAACAAAUGCCCUGCUUCCAGGAAAAGCCUCUAAGCAUCAGGUAACAUCAAAUCGUACCCCAAACCGACACAGGUGGUCAGGUAGAGAAUACCAAGGCGCUUGAGAGAACUCGGGUGAAGGAACUAGGCAAAAUGGUGCCGUAACUUCGGGAGAAGGCACGCUGAUAUGUAGGUGAAGCGACUUGCUCGUGGAGCUGAAAUCAGUCGAAGAUACCAGCUGGCUGCAACUGUUUAUUAAAAACACAGCACUGUGCAAACACGAAAGUGGACGUAUACGGUGUGACGCCUGCCCGGUGCCGGAAGGUUAAUUGAUGGGGUCAGCGCAAGCGAAGCUCUUGAUCGAAGCCCCGGUAAACGGCGGCCGUAACUAUAACGGUCCUAAGGUAGCGAAAUUCCUUGUCGGGUAAGUUCCGACCUGCACGAAUGGCGUAAUGAUGGCCAGGCUGUCUCCACCCGAGACUCAGUGAAAUUGAACUCGCUGUGAAGAUGCAGUGUACCCGCGGCAAGACGGAAAGACCCCGUGAACCUUUACUAUAGCUUGACACUGAACAUUGAGCCUUGAUGUGUAGGAUAGGUGGGAGGCUUUGAAGUGUGGACGCCAGUCUGCAUGGAGCCGACCUUGAAAUACCACCCUUUAAUGUUUGAUGUUCUAACGUUGACCCGUGAUCCGGGUUGCGGACAGUGUCUGGUGGGUAGUUUGACUGGGGCGGUCUCCUCCUAAAGAGUAACGGAGGAGCACGAAGGUUGGCUAAUCCUGGUCGGACAUCAGGAGGUUAGUGCAAUGGCAUAAGCCAGCUUGACUGCGAGCGUGACGGCGCGAGCAGGUGCGAAAGCAGGUCAUAGUGAUCCGGUGGUUCUGAAUGGAAGGGCCAUCGCUCAACGGAUAAAAGGUACUCCGGGGAUAACAGGCUGAUACCGCCCAAGAGUUCAUAUCGACGGCGGUGUUUGGCACCUCGAUGUCGGCUCAUCACAUCCUGGGGCUGAAGUAGGUCCCAAGGGUAUGGCUGUUCGCCAUUUAAAGUGGUACGCGAGCUGGGUUUAGAACGUCGUGAGACAGUUCGGUCCCUAUCUGCCGUGGGCGCUGGAGAACUGAGGGGGGCUGCUCCUAGUACGAGAGGACCGGAGUGGACGCAUCACUGGUGUUCGGGUUGUCAUGCCAAUGGCACUGCCCGGUAGCUAAAUGCGGAAGAGAUAAGUGCUGAAAGCAUCUAAGCACGAAACUUGCCCCGAGAUGAGUUCU
rnacentral:rRNA from 1 species